GUUGAACGCUGGCGGCAGGCCUAACACAUGCAAGUCGAGCGGCAGCGGGAAGUAGCUUGCUACUUUGCCGGCGCGCGGCGGACGGGUGAGUCAUGUCUGGGGCUCUGCCUGAUGGCGGGGGAUAACUACUGGAAACGGUAGCUAAUACCGCAUAACGUCGCAAGACCAAAGCGGGGGACCUUCGGGCCUCGCGCCAUCAGAUGAACCCAGAUGGGAUUAGCUAGUAGGUGGGGUAAUGGCUCACCUAGGCGACGAUCCCUAGCUGGUCUGAGAGGAUGACCAGCCACACUGGAACUGAGACACGGUCCAGACUCCUACGGGAGGCAGCAGUGGGGAAUAUUGCACAAUGGGCGCAAGCCUGAUGCAGCCAUGCCGCGUGUAUGAAGAAGGCCUUCGGGUUGUAAAGUACUUUCAGCGAGGAGGAAGGCAGUAAGGUUAAUAUCCGUGCUGAUUGACGUUACUCGCAGAAGAAGCACCGGCUAACUCCGUG
rnacentral:rRNA from 1 species